UGUAGGCGGGGGGAUGGGCUCUACCGGAGAGUGCACCCCUCCCUGGUUGUGUGUUCCAGAAAGCUGGGCCUCGCCCUGCCCUCAGGAGGCACACAGCCCGAGGAAAGGUGACUGGGAAACCAAGUCAGUGCGGGGUUUAGAGCUGUCGUGGAGAGGAAAGCGAUGCCCACACUUCCCCAAACUUUGAAGACGAGAUUUGGGGCCCGCGGUAGGGAGGUUCCAUGUUGAGAAGGGAUGGUCCCUGUAAGCAAGGUGCUGUGCUUUGGUGAUCUGGGUAAUUGCUGCCCCAAGGACAGUCAGGUCCUUGAUUGCCUCACGUUAACAUCGCAAGACCUGGGCCUCUUGCCCUGUGGCUUCCUGCGAACCUGCUGGCAACCUCACAGGGAUUCACUGUCCUAAGUAUGCUUAGCAGAAGGGAGAAUAAUAGGGAUAAGUUUGUCAUAUACUUUACACAGAACUCUUGAAGGCCCUGACCAGUGGUGAAACCAUUCUGAGUGUGAGGCAGUGUGGCCGGUGGCCCAGCAAGCAGGUCAGAGGUAAUCAGGCACCUGAAUCCGGUGAGUCCCAGUGAGCAUCUCACUGGAGCAGACUGUCACCUGUGGAGCACCCCUGUGAACCACCCCUUGGUAUCCACUCGGUGGGAAGUCCCCCCACCUUAGUUGUAGAAGGGCACAGUGACUGGCUUUUGCCAAUAAGAUGUAGUAAAAGUACACUGGGCCAGUUCCAGCCUAAGCCUGGAGAAGCUGAGCGGGUUUGGCACUCUGCGGAGCCCUGUGCUACCGUGUAGAAUUUCUCCCUGCUGCGAAAAGCCUCAUGGAGAGGCCACGUGGAAAGGGAGAAACCUCAGCCUCCAUCCGUCUGACCCACUGACUAAAUUCGCAUCAGCAAGACCACCAGAAGAACCGCUCAGCUGAUCCCAGCAGAGCACAGUGUGGAUUUGUGACAACAGAUUUUGCAGCCAGUACAGAGAAGGAAUUCCUGAAUGGAAACACUAAGUCCAAGUACAAAGUCACAAAGAACUGAACUAGAGAGUAGGGCUGGAUCUGAGCAUCUCUGAGAGGCUUUGAUGAACAUGCGUGUCACCAGCCAUGUCAGCCUUGAACUUGUUUCCAAGGAUCUAUGUUGCUUCCUAAAUAUACUGAAUUCUCCAUUUAUAAAUACUCUCAAGUGGGACAUCUUCAUGCUACGUGCAGUGUCAGAGUGAGUUGGACCACGGCUUCCCCCAAGUGGGACGAAACUCCUGUGUAAGGUGGGGAGCCCUGCAUGAAGGGUGCUCUGAUCGACCCUAAGGGUGUCCGAGUCCCAGAUGCUGGUCUCGUGGCUGCCUUGUUACCACUACCCUCAGGGGCGUAUAGGGAUCGUCCUGAUCUAGUCUCUCCUAAAAUACUUUCUCCAGAACAUAGGUUAGUCUGACCAUGUCAUUCCCUGACCAAAAUCCUUCAGGACUCUCCCCACCCCCUGGGCACACUUCAGACCCCCCAGCGUGGCCUGUGUGGCCUUCACUUUCACCUUCUCACCUCACACGGUGCAUUUCCUUUAUAGGACAGACCUCAUUUCGUCUCACACAAGCUGCUGCCUCUACUUGAAGCCUCUCGCCCCUUUAUUUGGAUGGUAGGUUGGCAGAGAGGAAGAGAAAGUCCAGCAUGAAAACGUAGAGCCUGGAGUGGGACAGUCACAUGGCCCUGCUGACAACUUCGGAUUCUGACACUUUCCUUUGGUUUUUAAAAUUUUCACUGAUUUUGAAAGAGACACGAAGAACAAGCAGGGGAAGGGCAGAGAGAGAGAAAGAGGGAGCGAGCGAGCGAGGGAGGGAGACAGAAACCCAAGCAGGCUCCAUACUGUCAGCACAGAGCCCGAUGUGGGGCCUGAACUCAAGAACCGUGAGAGCACAACCUGAGCCGACAUCAAGAGUCGGGCACUUAGCCAACUGAGCCGCCAUCACGUCCCCAUUCUUAUUCUAUCAUUUGUGAAUUCCUUCGGCCAUCCUUGCACCAUCCACAGACCCCAUCUACAUGUAAGACAACCAUGAAGAGAUCAGCAUGCACAGAUGUGCCUACAAAACUGGAUAAAUAUUAGGAUCAGAAUAAAAGCCCGGCGACAACACUGAAUAGAAUGGUUUAUUUUUCAAAAAUCACAGCACAAAGAGGGGACUCUGGAAAGCAGAUGUAUCCAUGUUGCCAUUAGGUAUCCAGAAGGAGAAAGCACAGGAACUGCCCAAGGAGGCCUCUUCUCUUCUUUGUGCCAUAAUAUCACCAACACUCCUUCCAGAGGAAAGAACCCCACGCCCAGCAGGAGAAUGAGGUCUUUGUUCAGUCCAGUAAGGGACAUUUACUGAAUGGCCUGUCUGUAGCAUGCAUUUGGUGACGAACAAUUCAUGUAUAGGUAUGUAUCACAAAUACCAUUGUCUUGCUUCUGCCAGGGCCGUGGGAGGUUGGAGUGCAGACUGCUUUAGGUGGGGGGCAGACUACGUUGGGGAGGACCUGGACCUGGGGAGACAUUAAGUUAGACUCUGAAGCUAUAUGGGAUCUAAACUGAGGAGUUGGAAGAGGGGAACCGAAUACGUGGAAAAACGUACUAUAGAGAGUGAGAGAGUGUUAGCACUGGGAAUAGCAAAAUGUCUGGGAACUUGACUGGAUCAGUCUGGAAGGGAGAUUCAUGCAGAAACUGAGUGCAGGAUAAAUCAGAAGUGUGGGUACUGCAGGCAGGAACACCAAGAAGGGAUUGGUUCUGAUCCAUCUAGAGGCUUGAUGAUAGGAAUCUGGGUCAAGACCAUGGCAGUGAGCAUGGAAGAGAGAGGGAGAUGGGGAGAAAAGAUGGCGGACUGGAUGGGGAGACACAGGAGGAAGGGCACUCAAAGAAGGAUUUUAGCACUUGAGAAUAAAUCAUACCGACUGUGGAAGAAUGGAGACAAAGGAGACUUGUUGAUGGUGGCUGUGAAGACCCCAAAAGGGAGGAAGAGACAGUGGGUCUCUGGAUGAGCACAUCUACCACAUUUACAAGUCCUGUCCCUCAUGUCACAGGAUGCUGGAAGGUGUACGUUUCUCGACCUUGAACAAGGGAGAAAGGCUGGACUUCCAUUCAGCAGACAUUGUCAGGUGCUUGGGUGCCCCUCUACCAGGGGAGAGGGGAACACGGUAUGUUCCUUGUUCCUGGUUCCCAGUCCACUGUAGAGGCAGACAUAUUUUAAGUUCUUAUUAAUUCACAGAGCCAACAGCCUGCAGGCCCCUCAGCCUUUGGGUACCAUCACAAUACAUAACGUGGCAGCCAGUUCCACUGCGCCUGUAGGAAGCACUCAACCAGACUGGGGGAGAGCCCGAGGAGACCGGUCCCGAGAGAAGAGAGCUGAGUGGCAAGGGCCACCUUGCUCUGAGCCCCACACUGCGGUCUCAGCAAAGAUGGACUCAGCAGAUAGCUAUGUGAGGGUCCCCACCUCCUGUUUCCUCUGAGAAGCAGCCAGCCUUACAAACCAACACGUACCCUGUCCCUGCACACCUACCACGCACACUCUUGGCAACGGCAAGGAGGCAACAGACGGAUACCAACUCGGUUGACCAGACUGAAUUUCCCAGGUACCAGGGCCACGAGGCAGACAGAGGCUUGGUGGUCAGGAGCAGCAGGGGCAGUACGAGAAGCGGGGACCAGGGACAGGCUGGGACUGCAGAGAUCUGGGAGAUGCCCGCGGCAGAUGCAGGGGAGAGCAGGUUGUGGGGAUGGUGGCCUUCCAACCAGCGCCAAUGUGGACAGAGGCCAACUGACGAGAUGCCUUCUUCUCAUGGAUACUGGACGCACUGAGAUGAUCCCUGCCGCCACCACAGAAGAAGAAGGCAUCCCUAAACUACAGCAAAGGCCGAUUUAUCUGAGUCUACCAUGAACUCAGAUGAACUUCACACCACAAGACCUGAGUCUGUGCACAUGGACCGCUGCAGUGUGGUAUGCCAGAAGCAGACGGAGCCCGGGUGCCUUCUAGGACAGGGAGCCAUGCCCUGGAGCUCGGCAGUCACCUCUGCAACCGUGAUGAUGUCUCCCUGUUUCAGUUGCUCGACAGGAUACUGUGGGAUGUGGAGGUCGGCACAACAUAGCCCAGGAUGGAUGAAGCCAACCGCUGCAAGAUGGUCACAAGUUCGGAUCCUGUCCCUGCAUCCUCCACUCUGCGUUCCCCGAGGGCUGACAAGACUGCAGUGUCAGGCCCAGGCCCCGCCACUGGGUGGUCCCAUUUCUCCUGAGACUCCCUCUCAGACUCUCUAACAUCCCUUCCCUCCUCCCAGCUGGCAGGACCCA